rnacentral:misc_RNA from 1 species
GCAUUUAUAUCUUGGACUGCUUUCACGCAAGGUCCUCUGAGGUCGCAGAGGAUACCAGCACCUCUAGUCGCCGCACGCGUCGCAGAGGAACAGAGGACGAGAUAGAUGCUACAGAGGAAACCCCAGAAACCCCAGAAGCCGCUCCCGAGGAACCACAAGUAGACCCAGAGGAAGCAGCUCGCAAGCGCCGGGCAGCUCAAGCCGAGCAGGAAAGACAGGAAGAGGAGGAGCGAGCUCGACGAGAAGAGGAAGAAGAGGAGCGCCAGAGACAGGAGGAAGUCCGACGCCAGCAGGAAGAGGAGCGAAGGAAACAGGACGAAGAGAGAAGAAAACAGGAGGAGGCUGAGCGUGCUAAGAGGGAAGAAGAGGAGAGGAUUGAGCGAGAGCGAUUGGAUCGGGAAGAACAGGAGCGUGAAGAAGCAGCAAGAAGGAUGGAAGAGGAACAAAAGAAGAGAAACCGCAAGAGGAAAGGGUUGGGAGGACUUGACAAAG